rnacentral:rRNA from 1 species
AUUGAACGCUGGCGGCAGGCCUAACACAUGCAAGUCGAACGAGUGGCGGACGGGUGAGUAAUGUCUGGGAAACUGCCCGAUGGAGGGGGAUAACUACUGGAAACGGUAGCUAAUACCGCAUACCAUCGGAUGUGCCCAGAUGGGAUUAGCUAGUAGGUGGGGUAAAGGCUCACCUAGGCGACGAUCCCUAGCUGGUCUGAGAGGAUGACCAGCCACACUUGAACUGAGACACGGUCCAGACUCCUACGGGAGGCAGCAGGGGGGAAUAUUGGACCAUGGGGGCAAGCCUGAUGCAGCCAAGCCGGGUGUAUGAAGAAGGCCUUCGGGUUGUAAAGUACUUUCAGCGGGGAGGCGUUACCCGGAGAAGAAGGAACGGCUAACUCCGUGCCAGCAGGCGCGGUAAUAC